rnacentral:rRNA from 1 species
UACGGAGGGUGCAAGCGUUAAUCGGAAUUACUGGGCGUAAAGCGCACGUAGGUGGUUUGUUAAGCUAGCUGUGAAAUCCCCGGGCUCAACCUGGGCACUGCAGUUAGAACUGGCAAGCUAGAGUAGGGUAGAGGGGUGUGGAAUUCCAGGUGUAGCGGUGAAAUGCGUAGAUAUCUGGAGGAACAUCAGUGGCGAAGGCGACUCGCUGGACAAGUAUUGACGCUGAGGUGCGAAAGCGUGGGGAGCAAACAGG